rnacentral:rRNA from 1 species
UCGGGCUGAAGACUCACUUGACUAGCUGAGAGGAGGUGCAUGGCCGUCGUCAGUUCGUACUGUGAAGCAUCCUGUUAAGUCAGGCAACGAGCGAGACCCACGCCAACAGUUGCCAGCUCGUCCUCCGGGAUGGUGGGGACACUGUUGGGACCGCCUCUGCUAAAGAGGAGAGGAAUGGGCACGGUAGGUCAGCAUGCCCCGAAUUAUCUGGGCUACACGCGGGCUACAAUGGGUGGGACAAUGGGUAUCGACACCGAAAGGUGAAGGCAAUCUCCUAAACCCAUCCGUAGUUCGGAUUGUGGGCUGCAACUCGCCCACAUGAAGCUGGAAUCUGUAGUAAUCGUGUCUCAAAAUGGCACGGUGAAUAUGCCCCUGCUCCUU